rnacentral:lncRNA from 1 species
AUGCUCAUGCUAAAGGAAAGGUGGGGGCGGCUACAGAGUUGGGGGAGAGGCAAUGCCUGGUCUGCAGCCUCCAGCCAGAAUGCAGGCACCACAGUUCACCUGUCCUGGCCCUGGCCACUGAAAGCACAGUGCCUGGCCUGUACGUCUAGGUUUUCUUGCUCUAUGCUACUCAGAACCCAGGUCUCAGAAGCUGAAGAUUCCCAGCUAUCUGGAGCCUUACCCAUGCAUGUUUCAGCCAUCUCCCAGAUGACUUACAGAGGAAACAGGGGCAAGAGCCAGCAUUCCAAAGAGUAUCUGGGCCUGGCAGUAGGUCUUCAGCCAUGGAGUUACUAUAUUUACCCUCCCAGCUUCCACCCUUCCUGGCCUGGACCACAUAAUCUCUGUCACCAUUUCCACCCAAGCUAGCGGAAGAGAGGCUGGAACAGUGCCUGGAGCCCACCUCAAGACUGUUUGGGAGGAGGGAAAGCAAAGGCCAUUAACCCCACCAUGCCCUAAGCUGGCCUGCCACCUCCCCAGGAAUCUUGGCCACAGGGAAGAGUUUCCAUGGACAGAAUGCUGUACUGCUUCCUUAAACUCAGGGAAAUCCCUCAGCAUUUCCUGAGAGAAGGGAAUGGGUUAGGAAUAGGAAGUUCAUGUAAAAGAGUGGAAAAGAAAAAUAAAAUAGGUUCAGGGAUUUAGCUCAGUGGUGCCGCACCUGCCUCACAAGUGUAAGGUCCUGAGUUCGAUCCCCAGUACCAUAAAAAAGAAAAGCAAAAUAACAAACAACAUUGAAAGGAAGGUAUUGUCCUUUAGUGGGAAAAGUUUUAGAGUGGGAUGAAAAGUCUUAAAUUCUACCCUGAGGCUGGGCAUGGUGGUGCACACCUGUGAUCCAGCACUCAGGAGGGUGAGGCAGGAGGAUCACUGUAAAUCUGAGGCCAGUCUGGGCUACAUGGGGAGUUAAGGACAGCUUGAACUGCCUAGUAAGUCCCUGUCUCAAAAAACCUAAAUAAAUAAAUAAAUUCUACCCUGAAUUUAUUAUUCAUUAGCUGUAAGAUCUCGGGUAAGUUACUUCAGUUCUCUCAUUGUUAAGUCAAUAUUCUAUAAAACUAGAAUAAUAAUUUUUGUUUUUCUUUUUGUUUUUUUGGUACCAGGGAUCGAACUCCUUGUGUUUGCAAGGCAGGCGGCGGAACCACUAAGUGAAAUCCCCGGCCCUAAAAUAAUAAUUUUUAAGAGAUUAUCUAGAUCAGUGCUUGCCUGAGUUGGGGGUGGAAUUCAAAGAGACUGUAAAUGGGCAGAACAUUUUUUUGGAAGGGUGUGUUAGAUUCUAAAAUUAAAUUGUGGUGAUGGUUGUUCAGCUCUAAACAUACUAAACUCAUUGCACACUUGGGUAGAUUUUAGGGUAUAUAAAUUAAAUCUCAAUAAAGCUGUUAGUUUUUUUUUUUUAAAGACUGUCUGGAGACUGAGGUAGCAUACUAAAUGACACUCCAUGAAAUGCAAAACUCUGUAUAAAUGUCAGUUGUUAGUAUGACCUGUAUAAUCUUAAGUAAGGCACUGUGGCUGUCUGGGCCUCGGUUUCUCCAUCUGUCACCCCGGAGUGUUUGUCACCAUCGCUCUUUGAGGUAUUUGGGCGUGUUCAUUUAUUUACACCAAAGAACUUCAAGUGGAGAUAAAGGCUGUAAAGAAACGAGUUUGAUGGGGGAAUGAGUGAUUAGAGGAGAGAAGAGAAAGCUACAAGGAGGUGAAAGGAGAGGGAAAGAUAAAGAGAGAGGUGUAGGGAGAAGAUAAGAAAAGAUGUAGAGAUUGGGAGGUUCGAGGCUGUGGCCCCAGCUCGGAAAUUUAAUCCAGGUGAAGUGGAAA